GCGAGGCGGUAGAACGAGCCUCACACACACAGUAAAAAGGAGAGAGAGACAGAUUUUUACUGUUGCUGUUGUUUCCUUCAGUUUGAGACUUGACUUCAGAAGAAAGAAGAUAAAACCCAGAGAAGAAGAAGGAGAAGACAUAUGGGGUUCUUUACAACCAGAGAGUGAAGAAGAAGAAGAAGAAGGAGAAGAAGAAGAAGGAGAAGGAGAAGUAGGAGAAGAAGAAACCCCUGUGGCCUCUGAACAGAGCUCCCUCACUGAUUGGUCAGAUUUAGCACGGCCUCCUGUGACACGCCACCAUGUCAUCGAACAUCAACAUUUCCCUGGACAAUCCGUACGGUCAGGUGACUAUCCCGAGGGCUAAGCUACGCUCCACUGAUGGUGUUGCCACGGUGAUAGCAAAUCCAAUGGUUCUGAAUAGUAAUGAUGGGAACCCGUACGGGUCACCGAACGCUGACCCCCCACCAUACAUGGUGAAGGAAGAUGGAGGGAGGGACGAAGAGGAGGUGAAGGGGUGGUGCGCCUGCUGCUACCGCUGUAGGAGGAGCAAGUGAUGUCACGGCAGCAGGAUGUGACGUCAAAGUAACAGGAUGUGAUGUCAUGGCACUAGGAGGAUUGUGAUCGGCUCAGAUUUAUUUAUUCAUCAGUUUUUCUCCCAAGAUGAUGUCAGAGAAAUGAAGGAUGGUAGGAAAGGACACAACUGAGGAGGUGAAGGAGGAGAAGGAAGGAAGGAAGGAUCACAAACUUGAGGAAGUUGUUUCCAUAAUGCAACUAUUUUGUGUUAGUUCAAGUAAAACUGUUUAAAUUUCUGUUUGUUUAGUUAAAACACUUUCUAGAUAAAACAUUAUUGAGACCAAACUUCCAGGCUCAUUUCCUGAAACAGGCUCCACCCCCUGAGGAAGGCCAUGAGCUGAAAGCCUCGGAUGAAAAACAACCUGAACUCGAUGUCUCUGCUGCUUCUAAACUUUUAUUUUAUUUAACAUUUACCAAACAAAAUAACAAGUUUAGUUUUAAAUGUCUGUCUGAUGGUUUUAUUAGUUUCUGUUACGGUGUUUGAAAAGGAAAGGAAAGACAUCAUUUACACCACGUGGGAGCGGAUCAGACCCAAGAUGGCCGCUGCUGAUGUUACUGGUUAUUUAUCGAUCUUAAGAAAAUAUAUUAACGUCUUUGUUUAAUAGGUUUGUUAUUUCAGUACUCACUUAAAAUACAAAUUAUAUACAUUAAACUUUAUUAAUCUCAGUUUAAAGUUCAUUCAUUACAGUUUAAAAUUAAUUUACUUUAGAAUCUAAACCUCUGAGGAUAUUUAAUUUUAUAUCUGUGACUUUGCAAUAAUCCCACAGACAGUGAAGAUGAAGUUGAUUAUAGAUUAUUAAUGAUUUAUUUUUUUGUUUGUACAUAUUUUAUAUUUCAUGCUGAUUUCUCUGCAGGUGAAAUGUUUUCAUUCAGGAAGUGUUAGAGAAUAAAGUGUUUAUAUUUUUCAUAUCAAUGACUCUGUGGAGUGUCAAUACGAGGAGACAGUGGAAUGUGGUGUUUGAGGUUUACUGUUGAAAUAAAAACCUUGUGAAGAA